rnacentral:rRNA from 1 species
GACCAUCUCCUAAGGCUAAAUACUCUCUAGUGACCGAUAGUGAACCAGUACCGUGAGGGAAAGGUGAAAAGCACCCCGGAAGGGGAGUGAAAUAGAACCUGAAACCGUGUGCUUACAAGUAGUCAGAGCCCGUUAAUGGGUGAUGGCGUGCCUUUUGUAGAAUGAACCGGCGAGUUACGAUUUGAUGCAAGGUUAAGCAGUAAAUGUGGAGCCGUAGCGAAAGCGAGUCUGAAUAGGGCGUUUAGUAUUUGGUCGUAGACCCGAAACCAGGUGAUCUACCCUUGGUCAGGUUGAAGUUCAGGUAACACUGAAUGGAGGACCGAACCGACUUACGUUGAAAAGUGAGCGGAUGAACUGAGGGUAGCGGAGAAAUUCCAAUCGAACCUGGAGAUAGCUGGUUCUCUCCGAAAUAGCUUUAGGGCUAGCCUCAAGUGAUGAUUAUUGGAGGUAGAGCACUGUUUGGACGAGGGGCCCCUCUCGGGUUACCGAAUUCAGACAAACUCCGAAUGCCAAUUAAUUUAACUUGGGAGUCAGAACAUGGGUGAUAAGGUCCGUGUUCGAAAGGGAAACAGCCCAGACCACCAGCUAAGGUCCCAAAAUAUAUGUUAAGUG